rnacentral:rRNA from 1 species
GACGAACCGUGCGAACGUUGUUCGGAAUCACUGGGCUUAAAGGGCGCGUAGGCGGGCUGUCAAGUCUGGGGUGAAAUCCCCCGGCUUAACCUGGGAACUGCGUCUGAUACUGGACGGCUUGAGUAUGGGAGAGGGAUGUAGAAUUCCAGGUGUAGCGGUGAAAUGCGUAGAUAUCUGGAGGAAUACCGGUGGCGAAGGCGGCAUCCUGGACCAUUACUGACACUGAUCCGCGAAAGCUAGGGGAGCAAACGGG